UGUUUCGAACGUCCGUGUGCUGAGUCUUUUUCCGCUUAAAAUCCGCAAAAAUAAAAAUAAAAACAAACCAGUGCCUACUUAUUGAAAACAGACGGAUUGCAGUUGCAAUUAAAGUCCCAACCUGGCGUUAUGAUUUGAAAAUACAACGAAAUCAAAUGAGAGAGCGCACUUAAUAAAGAAGA
rnacentral:sRNA from 1 species